AUGACCUCCACCAUGGCCUGGGCCCCUCUCCUCCUCACCCUCCUGGCUCACUGCACAGGAUCCUGGGCCCAGCCUGUGCUGACUCAGCCAUCCUCCUUGUCGGGGGCCCCGGGCCAGAAGGUCACCAUCUCCUGCACUGGAAGCAGCACCAACAUUGGGGGUUACCAUGUUUCCUGGCACCAACAGCUCCCAGGAAAGGCCCCCAAAUGCAUCAUCUAUACUAGUAACAUUCGACCCUCAGGGGUCCCGGACCGAUUCUCUGGCUCCAGGUCUGGCAAUUCGGCCUCUCUGGCCAUCACGGGGCUGCAGGCUGAGGACGAGGCUGAUUAUUACUGCUCAACAUGGGACGGCAGUCUCAGCGGUGCCACAGUGCUGCAGGCCCGUGGGGAACUGAGACAAAAACCCCUCUGCUCUGCGAGGGGGUAA